rnacentral:rRNA from 1 species
CCUACGGGAGGCAGCAGUGGGGGAUAUUGCACAAUGGGGGAAACCCUGAUGCAGCGACGCCGCGUGUGGGAAGACGGUCCUCUGGAUUGUAAACCACUGUCCCCAGGGACGAAGAUGACGGUACCUGGGGAGGAAGCUCCGGCUAACGACGUGCCGGCAGCCGCGGUAAUACGUAGGGAGCGAGCGUUGUCCGGAUUUACUGGGUGUAAGGGGAGCGUAGGGGGGACUGCAAGUUGGGUGUCAAGUCUACCGGCUCAACCGGUAGCCGCACUCAAAACUGCAGUUCUUGAGUGAAGUAGAGGCAGGCGGAAUUCCUAGGGUAGCGGUGAAAUGCGUAGAUAUUAGGAGGAACACCAGUGGCGAAGGCGGCCUGCUGGGCUUUUACUGACGCUGAGGCUCGAAAGUGUGGGGAGCAAACAGGAUUAGAUACCCGUGUAGUC